rnacentral:rRNA from 1 species
GACAGAGGGGGCAAGCGUUGCUCGGAAUCACUGGGCGUAAAGGGCGCGUAGGCGGCGCGGUAAGUCACUUGUGAAAUCUCUGAGCUUAACUCAGAACGGCCAAGUGAUACUGCAGUGCUAGAGUGCAGAAGGGGCAAUCGGAAUUCUUGGUGUAGCGGUGAAAUGCGUAGAUAUCAAGAGGAACACCUGAGGUGAAGACGGGUUGCUGGGCUGACACUGACGCUGAGGCGCGAAAGCCAGGGGAGCAAACGGG